rnacentral:rRNA from 1 species
UACGAAGGGGGCUAGCGUUGCUCGGAAUCACUGGGCGUAAAGGGUGCGUAGGCGGGUCUUUAAGUCAGGGGUGAAAUCCUGGAGCUCAACUCCAGAACUGCCUUUGAUACUGAGGAUCUUGAGUUCGGGAGAGGUGAGUGGAACUGCGAGUGUAGAGGUUAAAUUCGUAGAUAUUCGCAAGAACACCAGUGGCGAAGGCGGCUCACUGGCCCGAUACUGACGCUGAGGCACGAAAGCGUGGGGAGCAAACAGG